rnacentral:rRNA from 1 species
CAACCUGCCGUCUACUCUUGGACAGCCUUCUGAAAGGAAGAUUAAUACAAGAUGGCAUCAUGAGUCCNCAUGUUCACAUGAUUAAAGGUAUUCCGGUAGACGAUGGGGAUGCGUUCCAUUAGAUAGUAGGCGGGGUAACGGCCCACCUAGUCUUCGAUGGAUAGGGGUUCUGAGAGGAAGGUCCCCCACAUUGGAACUGAGACACGGUCCAAACUCCUACGGGAGGCAGCAGUGAGGAAUAUUGGUCAAUGGGCGAGAGCCUGAACCAGCCAAGUAGCGUGAAGGAUGACUGCCCUAUGGGUUGUAAACUUCUUUUAUAAAGGAAUAAAGUCGGGUAUGAUACCCGUUUGCAUGUACUUUAUGAAUAAGGAUCGGCUAACUCCGUGCCAGCAGCCGCGGUAAUACGGAGGAUCCGAGCGUUAUCCGGAUUUAUUGGGUUUAAAGGGAGCGUAGAUGGAUGUUUAAGUCAGUUGUGAAAGUUUGCGGCUCAACCGUAAAAUUGCAGUUGAUACUGGAUAUCUUGAGUGCAGUUGAGGCAGGCGGAAUUCGUGGUGUAGCGGUGAAAUGCUUAGAUAUCACGAAGAACUCCGAUUG